GACGAACGCUGGCGGCGUGCUUAACACAUGCAAGUCGAGCGGUAAGGCCCCUUCGGGGGUACACGAGCGGCGAACGGGUGAGUAACACGUGAGUAAUCUGCCCUCCACUUCGGGAUAACCGCCGGAAACGGUGGCUAAUACCGGAUACGACGCGCUUUCGCAUGAGAUGCGCGUGGAAAGUUUUCUCGGUGGAGGAUGUGCUCGCGGCCUAUCAGCUUGUUGGUGAGGUAACGGCUCACCAAGGCUUCGACGGGUAGCCGGCCUGAGAGGGUGACCGGCCACACUGGGACUGAGACACGGCCCAGACUCCUACGGGAGGCAGCAGUGGGGAAUAUUGGACAAUGGGCGAAAGCCUGAUCCAGCAACGCCGCGUGAGGGAUGACGGCCUUCGGGUUGUAAACCUCUUUCAGUACCGACGAAGCGCCGAUGAAGGUGGUGACGGUAGGUACAGAAGAAGGACCGGCCAACUACGUGCCAGCCGCCGCAGUAACAC
rnacentral:rRNA from 1 species